rnacentral:rRNA from 1 species
CCUACGGGAGGCAGCAGUAGGGAAUCUUCGUCAAUGGGCGCAAGCCUGAACGAGCGAUGCCGCGUGAGUGAAGAAGGAAUUCGUUCUGUAAACUUCUGUUAUAAAGGAAGAAAGACGGAUGGAGGAAAUGACAUCCGAGUGACGGUACUUUAUGAGAAAGCGACGGCUAACUACGUGCCAGCAGCCGCGGUAAUACGUAGGUGGCAAGCGUUAUCCGGAAUUAUUGGGCGAAAAGAGGGAGCAGGCGGCAGCAAAGGUCUGUGGUGAAAGACUGAAGCUUAACUUCAGUAAGCCAUAGAAACCGGGCAGCUAGAGUGCAGGAGAGGAUCGUGGAAUUCCAGGUGUAGCGGUGAAAUGCGUAGAUAUAUGGAGGAACACCAGUGGCGAAGGCGACGAUCUGGCCUGCAACUGACGCUCAGUCCCGAAAGCGUGGGGAGCAAAUAGGAUUAGAUACCCCUGUAGUC